GUCGUCCUGCACUGGAAAUGCUGUCAGCCAAUACAAACCCCAUCCGGUUGGAGCCGGGCAGCCUCCUUGAGUAUUUUGCAUAGGGGAAGUGGCGGAGAGGGAAACGUUUCAUCCAACAUGCAUCCCUCUGUCUUUUCUCGUUGCUUGGCCAGCAGGACACCCCCCCAUCUGGACGACUUAGGAACUGCAUAACUUUAUCAGCACUCGAAUAACAUUUCGAGAUGUGCAUAUUUAAUAAAUCAUUCGGGUAUCUCAAAUGAGGAAUUUUUCAUGACACAUCAACGACACACAAGUCUGGCUGCUGACCUGGAAUGGCAUUUGAAGUACUGGAUAAUGAAGAUAUAUUACAUGCAAGAGUGCACUUUAUAUACCUCUAACAAAAGUUUCUUUCUUCUGUUUUCUAAAAGUUGUCCUUUUGUCUCUCGUGCUUUUUUAUAGGUGCAACUCACCUUUAAAGGUAUGAUUACAUGUAAAUAUUUUGAGCUGUUGGCUUGUACCUUUUGUAAAUUUAUGAAGUCAAAAUGGAUUAAAUGAUACUGAAGGUAAAACUGUGCGUGGACACAAACUUUUUUUUUAAAUUAUUUUAUUUUGUUUUAACAUAAUCAGUCUUUAUAGGUUAGAUAUUAUGGUUAUAUUAUAUAUUAUAUUAUAAUUUAAAUUAAAGUGAACGUUUCAAAUGUACCUGGACAUGUGUAUAAGCACAUUAAAAGAAAUUUUAAAUUAAAUAUGAGUGAAUAAGUUGUCUUAAAAAGCCGUUGGUGUUUAGAAAUUUCUUGCCGCUUCGCAACUGCCUGAAGUUUCUCACGUGUGACAAAACAAAAGCAACGUCGAACGGCUCCUUCUCAUUUUUCCGGGAUUCAUAAAGUGUUCAUACAAUACAUGCCCACAUGCACACUAAAGCAUAAACAGCAAAGGUCCCGUCCUCAAAUUAGAAUUUCAAAUAUAUGAAUAAAUGUGUCUUGUGCCAUUUUCAAUUUUCUGCUAUUGUUUAGGUGCAUUCGGUUUUAUUCAUUUAUUUAUUUAUUUAUUCAUUUAUUUGUGUGUUUUAAUAGAUCUUUGUAAAGCCAAUUUGGCCGUGUACUCUGAGAAACUGUAAUUACUUGUUUAUGUAUAGUAAUAUUAAUUAUGAUGCGCUGCCAGUGAACACGAAUUAAUAUUAAUAAAUUACUUGUAAUUUACUUUCAUACUUUUAGUGGUUUAUUAUGGGAUUUAUGAUCAUGCUGAAAUAAAUCACCCGUCACGUGUUUUCACAAGGUCUGAAUAAUAUAUGCUUCAUUUAGUUCAGGCAUUCGAGCAAAGAAGUUUACCUAAAAUGGUUUUAUACUUAUUAUCUAAUAAUUUGACAUCACGACAAACGUAAAUAGAAGUCUUCAGACAGUAAAGCUUCUUCCGAAAUCGCUUUUCAGACACAAGCCACCCUAUCCAAUCGACACAUGACACCCGCAAGGUGCAAUGACCCCAGACGGUAAAUAUUGAUAAAGGUUUUAAGUGUCAUCAAAGGAUAAACUUCCUCAAGUGUGCUUUGUCUUUAAAGUCUUAAGGAGAACUUAAAGUUCUAUUUUUCAUUGUCUCAAAUGGACCGAAAAUGUGAGACAAUGUGUCA